AGGUAUCUUCGGGGCAGGUGAAACUCCUGGCCGGCGGUAAAAGCCCGCGACUCUCCUUUUCUUUUAUCAAUAAGGGGACUGAUUUGGUGGAAUUCCAAAGCCGACGGUUAAAGUCCGGAUGGGAGAAGAUCAAC
rnacentral:ncRNA from 2 species